AAGAACGAUGUUAUAAAUAUUGAUGUCAUUGGAUUUGUUGCACGUGUUCACUUGCAUAUCAGCGGACAUUUACAUGAGAAACUUAGAAAUGGACUCUGGGAAAUGCAUAUUUGAACAGUGUAUACUUUAUUUCUUUUAGUUUUCACGGUGUCUGCUGAAAAGAGAGAGAGACAGAAAGACAAAUAAACAGCAAAAAAGACCUCUGUAUGAAGCGUGGUUAUUAUUUCAUUAGACCAUUGCAGCUACAGUGAAAACGUACCGUGACAGCUUCCAUUGUGGCACGGUACCGGUCGGAUAAGAAGAGAAAACAAGACCGCAUCGGAAAGAAGGAGGAAACACGAUCGCGUGGGUAGAGAAGGCGUCAGAGAAGAGGCUUGCCGUUUCAUAGCUGUCACAGCCGAGGAAAGUACUGCGACCCGAUUUGUAGAGGCGGACAUUAGCCGUGUAGGCUACCGCCUUGCAAGUAUCCUUUCUACAGGCUUCAGAGUACACUGUUUGUUAAUCCCAACGUUACUUCAAGCUGAAGAGUCCUGCUCUGCAAUUAACAGCAGGUUUUGAAAGCAUGCCUCCUGCUUGUGAGACCACACCCACUCGUUCUUUUGUUCUAGCAGACAUCUGAGUGGAGCAGAACGUGUUGAUAGCUGGGGAAUGAAUUUGGCCAGAUUGGACUGUCCUGUUAGCUCCAGAACCUGCUUCAGUCAUGCAUCAUGUUCCUGCUGGUUGGAUCCCCACACAAGCAGACAUCCUGGUCCUUCAAAAACAUCUUCAUACUCCUGCAUGAAUGAGGUUUCAUUUGUUUCAAUCUGUGAUGCCACUACAAACACUCAAAUCAAGUUUUUAUCACGUGCUCAGUCCCAAAAUUGGCUGGACAUUCUUUUCCACAAUCAGCAUCUGUGACUUUACCUGCUGUCCCUUGUGUUUAAGAGUCACCAAUCAGCUCCCUUUGACAGGGACAUUCUCACCAGUGUAUCCUGUUACUUUCGUUCUCACUGGGUGUAUUUUGCUUUUGAUUUUGAGGGUUUUGUAGUCAGACUUAGAUUGACUUAUUCAGCAGUAUCUAAUUUCUAUCUGUAGGUCCGCUUUAUUAAUUUUUUUAUUUUAAACUCUCCCAUACUUGCCAGUCCCUAUAUCUGACACCAUGUUACAUUUUAAACACCAUGCUGAAUGUCUUUUUUACCACUUCAUUUUACUUUAUUUUACUUUUUAUUUUGCAUGUGCGCACGCAACAUGUCUCUUAGCACAACUUGCCGUUCACCCUCUAAACUGUCCGGGGACACACGCGCACACACAGAACCAAAAUUACAUGUAAUCGUUCAUGACAUCACAGGGACGUCUAUGUGAACUUUUAGCACAUAGUUAUGCUUGCUCUAUAUAUGGUUCCAGUGCUUCACAAAUGAGUGUCUGGGAAUCUGAUGGAGGAGUCUGAGUUUGGUGGUUGCCAGGAGAACGGUACUGGCCUGACUGCAUUGUGCCAUGUGGUGGUGUUUUAAAGUUUGGUGGAGGAGACAUUAUGGUGUGGUGUUGUUUUUCAGAGGUUGGGCUUAGCCCUUUAGUUCCAGUGAAAUGAAAUCUUAAUGCUUCAGCAUACCAAGACAUUUUGGACAAUUUCAUGCUCCCAACAUUGUGGGAACAGUUUGGGGAUGACCCCUUCUUGUUCCAACUUGACUGCGCACCAGUGCACAAAGCAACAUCCAUGGAUGAGUGAGUUUGGUGUUGAGGAACUUGACUGGCCUGCACAGAGUCCUGACCUCGACCCGAUAGAACAACUUUGGGAUGAAUUAGAGUGAAGACUGUGAGUCAGGCCUUCUUAUCUAACAUCAGUGCAUGACCUCACAAAAGCACUUCUACAGGAAUGGUAAAAAAUUCCCAUAAAUACACUCCUAAACCUUGUGCCUUCCCAGAAGAGUUGAAGCUGUUAUAGCUGCAAAGGGCAGGGCAGCUCCAUAUUAAAGGCUACAGACUAAGGAUGGGAUGUCCUUCAAUUUCAUGGAGCUAAAAUUUCGGUGAGGAUUCAUUCAAGCUGCACUCUGUGGACUUGGAGAAGCAGAUCUGCGACCUAUAGGUGAAGCUAGCUCAGCUGUGACAGCGGAAAGCCUCGCUGGAAUCAUCCUGGACUGACGCUUACCUGUCCCAGGUAAAUCCGCAGCAUGAAACAAACACUCCCACAACCUCAACUCCGUGUUCUUCUU